rnacentral:tRNA from 1 species
AGCACCGGUGGCGAAGGGGCUAACGCGCUGGUCUGCAAAACCAGUAUUCGCCGGUUCAAAUCCGGCCCGGUGCUCCAA